AUUUCUCUCUUUUUCUCACAUGGGAGCAGCUAUGAGGCGCAAGCGGCCAGGCCGCACAAGGAGCACUGAGAAAUGAGAACGGUGGUGCUACAGAUCUCAACUGUUUGAUGGAAUGCCCCAUAGUGCUCGCGUCAUUGCACAGAUCUAUAUGAUGCUUGACCUGGAAGGGCAGCAUUAAAACAGUGAUGAUAGUACCUGUGGUGUAUGAAAUCAGCAGGCUAGACAAGAUCAUG